rnacentral:rRNA from 1 species
GAUGAACGCUGGCGGCGUGCUUAACACAUGCAAGUCGAACGGUGAAGGUGGGAGCUUGCUCCUGCUGGAUCAGUGGCGAACGGGUGAGUAACACGUGAGUAACCUGCCCCGGACUCUGGGAUAAGCGUUGGAAACGACGUCUAAUACCGGAUACGAGACGAGAAGGCAUCUUCAUCGUCUGGAAAGAUUUUUUGGUCUGGGAUGGACUCGCGGCCUAUCAGGUUGUUGGUGGGGUAAUGGCUCACCAAGCCUACGACGGGUAGCCGGCCUGAGAGGGGGACCGGCCACACUGGGACUGAGACACGGCCCAGAGUCCUACGGGAGGCAGCAGUGGGGAAUAUUGCACAAUGGGCGAAAGCCUGAUGCAGCAACGCCGCGUGAGGGACGACGGCCUUCGGGUUGUAAACCUCUUUUAGUAGGGAAGAAGCGAAAGUGACGGUACCUGCAGAAAAAGCACCGGCUAACUACGUGCCAGCAGCCGCCGCAG